rnacentral:snoRNA from 11 species
CCUGUCAGUGAUGAUUCCUUAACCCUGUUGUUCGAGUUUAAAUGACAAUGAGACUACCUUACAUGCACUACCAUCUGAGACAUG